rnacentral:rRNA from 1 species
GAUGAGCGCUAGCUACAGGCUUAACACAUGCAAGUCGAGGGGCAGCAUGAACUUAGCUUGCUAAGUUUGAUGGCGACCGGCGCACGGGUGAGUAACGCGUAUCCAACCUGCCCUUGUCCACCGGAUAACCCGUCGAAAGGCGGACUAACGCGGUAUGCAGUCCACAGCAGGCAUCUAACGUGGACGAAAUGUAAAGGAGAAGGAUGGGGAUGCGUCUGAUUAGCUUGUUGGCGGGGUAACGGCCCACCAAGGCGACGAUCAGUAGGGGUUCUGAGAGGAAGGUCCCCACAUUGGAACUGAGACACGGUCCAAACUCCUACGGGAGGCAGCAGUGAGGAAUAUUGGUCAAUGGACGGAAGUCUGAACCAGCCAAGUAGCGUGCAGGAUGACGGCCCUAUGGGUUGUAAACUGCUUUUAUAUGGGGAUAAGGUGAGCCACGUGUGGCUUAUUGCAGGUACCAUAUGAAUAAGGACCGGCUAAUUCCGUGCCAGCCGCCGCGGUAA